rnacentral:misc_RNA from 1 species
UCGACACCACUGUUACAUGUAGUCCAUAGUGGUGUGAACAUGCUCCACAAGUACAGAAAUCUCCACAAAUACAGAAACGCUGCUCUCUACAGACAGGUUCCAGUGUUACAGACAGGCUCUACAACCAGGCUCCACUGUUAGAAGUACCAUGAAAGUGUGUUGGGUGUCCAAGUACUAUCGACGUAGCGUCGUAGCUGUCAAAUGCCUUGGCAUUAUCCUGAUGACCUUCAAAAAGACUUCACCGUGGUCAAGGU